AUGCAAGUCGAACGGCAGCACGGACUUCGGUCUGGUGGCGAGUGGCGAACGGGUGAGUAAUGUAUCGGAACGUGCCUAGUAGCGGGGGAUAACUACGCGAAAGCGUAGCUAAUACCGCAUACGCCCUACGGGGGAAAGCAGGGGAUCGCAAGACCUUGCACUAUUAGAGCGGCCGAUAUCGGAUUAGCUAGUUGGUGGGGUAACGGCUCACCAAGGCGACGAUCCGUAGCUGGUUUGAGAGGACGACCAGCCACACUGGGACUGAGACACGGCCCAGACUCCUACGGGAGGCAGCAGUGGGGAAUUUUGGACAAUGGGGGAAACCCUGAUCCAGCCAUCCCGCGUGUGCGAUGAAGGCCUUCGGGUUGUAAAGCACUUUUGGCAGGAAAGAAACGUCAUGGGCUAAUACCCCGUGAAACUGACGGUACCUGCAGAAUAAGCACCGGCUAACUACGUGCCAGCAGGCGCGGUAAUACGUAGGGUGCAAGCGUUAAUCGGAAUUACUGGGCGUAAAGCGUGCGCA
rnacentral:rRNA from 1 species